CAGUCGCCGCGGUAAUACGUAGGGUGCAAGCGUUAAUCGGAAUUACUGGGCGUAAAGCGUGCGCAGGCGGUUAUAUAAGUCAGACGUGGAAUCCCCGGGCUCAACCUGGGAACUGCAUUUGAGACUGUAUGGCUAGAGUGUGUCAGAGGGGGGUAGAAUUCCACGUGUAGCAGUGAAAUGCGUAGAUAUGUGGAGGAAUACCGAUGGCGAAGGCAGCCCCCUGGGAUAACACUGACGCUCAUGCACGAAAGCGUGGGGAGCAAACAGGAUUAGAUACCCGCGUAGUCCCUGUCUCUUAUAC
rnacentral:rRNA from 1 species